rnacentral:misc_RNA from 1 species
CCCAACUAUCCCUAUUAAUCAUUACGGUGAUCCUAGAAACCAACGAAAUAGAAUCAGUCCGUCCUAUUUCAUUAUUCCAUGCUAAUGUAUUCAGACGAUAGUCUGCUUUAAACACUCUAAUUUUUUCAAAGUAACAGUCCUGAUUUCCCAUCACACCAAAUAAAUGACAUGAAAGUUCCUCAGAAGGUAGAGAUCCAUCUCACCAGUACAGACAAUUAAGCCUGACCAAUGGGUAGACCCCGAAGUUCAACUACGAGCUUUUUAACUGCAACAACUUUAAUAUACGCUAUUGGAGGGCAAGUCUGGAAUUACCGCGGCUGCUGGCACCAGACUUGCCCUC